UGCGCAGGCAUAGNGCCUGCGCUUUUCUGGACUGUAGGGCGGUCCAGGAACAAGGGCUGGGCAAGACCGGUGCCAGCCGCCGCGGUAAUACCGGCAGCCCAAGUGAUGGCCGCUGUUAUUGGGCCUAAAGCGUCCGUAGCUGGCCGCACAAGUCCGUCGGGAAAUCCGCCCGCUCAACGGGCGGCCGUCCGGCGGAACCUGUGUGGCUUGGGACCGGGAGGCNUGAGGGGUACGNUCGGGGUAGGAGUGAAAUCCUGUAAUCCCGCUCGGACCGCCGAUGGGGAAACCACUUCAGGAGAACGGAUCCGACAGUGAGGGACGAAAGCCAGGGUCUCGAACCGGNUU
rnacentral:rRNA from 1 species